GAAUACCAGUCGGUAUCUAGGUGGCUGCAGUUGAUUUGAUUGUGAUCUGUGAAAGAAGGAAAAACUAACUUAUGAAGUGAAAAAACAGAGUGAAUCUAAUAAACUGUUGUAUCUAUUCCUAGUAUAUAUGAAAUUAUUAUACCUUGGAGCAUCAGAAGCAUGACUUGUGCCGUUAGUAUGAAGCUCUGAUUGUUUGCGGAGCUUCUCCAAUUCUUUGCUCUGAACAUUUUGAUUUUCAAGAACCUUCUCCAACUGUUUGCGCAUUUCACUAAUGUCAUCCUUACUUUCAGUAUUCUGCUUUGAUUGUUCGUCAAACUUCACAUUGAGUAAUUUUAGCAUCUGUAGGAUGUCAUUGUAUUGAGAGCAUGUUAAUAUAUCCUUCAAAAAAAAAAGAAUGGUAACUGUUAGUACGAUCAUUGCAGUAUACUGGGUACUAAAAUUCGAUGCAGAUAAAUUUAUGGUGACAAGAUCAAAAGGAAUCCAAACAUGAUGCUGGUUUUUCUUUUAAAAUUUCACAUUUGACUUUGGAGUUCGAAUUUUCAGUGCAAUUCAUUUGGAGAGGGACGACCGGUCGCGUUUUCCGAAUCAAAAAAGAAAACGCUAUAUAUUGAAGAACACUUCUGCAGAAUCAUACAUAUUAUAAGCCUAACAGGCAGGCUGAAAGUACCUCAUUUUUCCUAGCAUUUCUUGAAGACCGAGUCCGUCGUCUUCUACGUUUAGUUCUCUCUGGAGAUGUGUCAUCAGUUGAGCUGUUUGGUCCCCAGAAAGUCAGGCUAGAUUUCAAGCAAGCAGUGAAAUCAAGAAUUCAAUCUCCGACAGGCUUACCUCGCGCUCGUGGAGUAGGACUCGAGGUCCGUCAGCGACGUCACUCGCUUGCCCCUGAGGCCCUGACGCCCCCCUUCGUUGUGAGUUUGUGAUGUUGACUUGUGAGUUGACUUCACUCGCUUGCCCAUGGUGCCCCCUUCCUUGUGAGUUUGUGAUGCAGCUCCUCUUUUUGUAAAGUCUAUUUCAUUAAGCAGAUGAAACAACACACACCAUCUCCACAACUGAGAUUGAACAGAUCUUUUCAGAAACUUAAUGAUUGCUAAACCUUCGCACAAAUUUGCCAAAGAUGUAUACCCGGCGAUCGAGCAGAUCCGGCGCCGCGGCGUCGCACGUCCUGCCGGGCGGCGGAUCCCGCGCCGCCGCCUGCCCCUCCACCACCUCAGCCGCGCAGAGAGGAGAGCGACCGGACAGAUGAGCAGAAGGUAUGUACGACUUUGGCGCUUGCUACAGCUGGACGGAAGUGAGAGAGGGGGAAGAAUAUUCUCUGGACAGAUGAGCAGAGUCUGGCGUGUCCUGCUGCCCCAAAUCGCCGUCCACAGUCUGGCGUGCUGCUGCUGGGAGGUCCCGCGGAGUCCCUGCGACCUGCUCUCGUUCCUCCCACUUGUUUACUUGUUUUGCUCCGUCGGCGCGACUCCCUUGCAAGUCCAGUGGAGUCCCUGGGAGCUCCAUCUAAAGUCCCGGGCUGUUGACAACAACUACUCCCGGUUGCUUCCAGUUGCACUUGCACUUGUUCUUGGAGACAGGUCAUUACCGUGUCAGCCUGUCAAUUGUGUCCACCCAAACUGAGCCACCAUGCAUGCAUCUGAAGCGUCCUGCACUCUGUUCUGCUUCUGCCCCCGGGGGAAGUCCGGUCGAUUCCCUCAAACCUCCAUCCGGGCUUCCAGAACACGAACCAGAGGUACUCCGUACUCACAUGGCGCCACAGGGUAACUCGUGCUGAAGCCCUCCUCAACCUCCAAGACAUGCAUUGCAGGUCAGGGCUAGCUAGCUUGUGAGUUAUGACCAAGCCCAUGCCAUCUCUUCUCGAGACCAAGUAGCUAGUCAAUGCAACUGUGUAUGCAUGAAACCUUAAUCGCUCGCUCUGGCUUUGAUGAACCUAUAUAUGCAGAGGUCGACUGCGUGCAGAAGCAUAUCGAGAGCCAUCGAUCGACAUCGUUCAUCGUCCCCUUUUACUCUUGUUUGCACAAGACGAUCGAUCGUCAGUGCGGAGCGGUGCGAAAUGGUCGAGUUUUGGGACAUGGUCGGGAAGGCGGCCAACCUGCUUCAGCUAUUCGGAGGGGACGCCAUCACGCUCAUCACCCUCGUCGCGAGCUGCUUCUGGCAGUUUCAUGAGGUUAAGAAGGAAUGCCGGAAGCUGGAGGACAGUGUGCGGAUGCUCCGGCUGCUCCUGCUCUCGCCAGCCGGCUGCUGGAUCAUGCAGCAGCAGAACUUGGAGCUGCUGGGGCAUCUCGUGACCAAUGCACUCAUGGACGCAGACGACCUCGUCCGGUCCUGCAGCGAGAGCACGCCGUCUUUGCGUGUCCUGAGGGGCAGGGGCAUGUCCAGGCAGUUCCGCGAUCUGCGCAAGAGCAUCGACUCCUAUUGUUGCCUCAUCCUCUCCAUCAACGGCUUCCUCCUCGUCGUGCAAGCCAACCCUCCUCCUCCGUCCUCGCUUGUCAGGUGAUCAGAUUUUCGCUCCGAUAUCCGGCAGCUAGAUGUUUAGUUACAUGUUCAGAAGACACAACAACUCUCGACGUACGUUGCUCGGCCGGUGCAACACCGGCAAUCUGAACUGAACGCUUUCAUGCAUUCAAAUGCAGGACUCAGGUGAACCAUGUAACUGUUGCUGGUUUCCAGUCCAACAGAAACAUUGAACCAUUAGGUAUUCUAUUUUCUGGCGUGCAGCAUUUCUGAUGAGCUCGAUCUUGAUAUUUCAACUACCGCUAGGCAAAAUGAGAUGGAAAAUUAGUUCCUUGUGUUUGAACCUAGAUUAUUGGUUCCUCACACUGAAGACGACAUGCCGUAGAAAAAUGGAUUAAUAAUGGAACCAAUUUUGUUGGUUCUCAUGUUGAAAACGGACACUUGAUGGAAGAAUAAUGCUCGUUUAAAGAAAAUGCAAGCAAUUUCCUACAUUGAUGUCAACGAUGACCUCAUGCGAAAGGGAUAUAUCUGCCAAGAGAUGCUUUUUGCUCGUUUUAAUUUGGACUAUUUGUGGCUUGACGCACUCUACUUCAGUUGCAUUCGAGGAAAAUGUUACAGAUUCAAACUCUUUUCGUGUGGUGGGGUUGGUGGUUUUUCAACAAACCUGAGCAUAGGGACUUUGCAAACAAAAUAAUAAGUCUUCCAGGGUGAAAUCUCAAAAUUGAAGUGACAUUUAUUGCUAUUUUACAAAAAUUUCGCAGAAGAAUGGGAGGUACAGCACGUGUUAGGCUGGAAGCCAAGCUGAUUUCAGUCGGCUAAACUAUAUCAAUUUGUCUCGUCUCUAUAACUGAUCUGAAUUUUAGAAAAAAAAACUAUAUUCAGAAUUUUGGGAGCACGCAUUCAACAUCUUAAUUUGAAAGUUUUAGUGUUUACUUUUUUCUUGUGAGCAGACCACAAACCGAAAGGUGGAAUACAAUAUACGCCAGUUUUGUGCCCCCAUAAUGGUUAGCAUAGUGUUGAUCAGCACAAAAUUAGUACUAUUUUUUGUUCCUACUAGGAUGGUAGGUUGAAAACAGCCGGCCUCCUCUGCAAGAGGAACCUCCGGAUCAAACACAGUCAUGUGAGAAACUGUGCCACUUCAAAUCGCAUGGCCCAGCCCAUUCGGCCGACAGGGCCCAUCGGCCUAAUUAGCAGGUUUGACAAACCGUGCCAUGUGAGAAAUUCUCCACUACACAGAAUCAGACUAUUGGAAUUCAACAAUAGUCUCUGCUCACUGCUGACUGCUGACAUGUCAGUGCCACUACAAUCUCCUCCAGUUCUCUGGCUAACUGUCAAGCUGAAGUCCAUGCCUGACCUUUUUUUAUUUUGAGGGUCAGGGGGGGAGCAUCCCCCACCUGAAUUUCAUUUAUAGACUUUGGGCAAGCCAAAAACAGUUUACAUAAUGGUUUCAGCAGAUUUUGAGGAAAAACAGGGGAGAGCAUCUUCCUAUAGGUUGCUACAUGAUAGAAAAAAUCAGACACCAGGACUCAAUUUCCUGUUGUUUGGCGACGGGCCAUCUGUGGUUCAGAGCUGUACAUCUUGCUUGCAGUCGGCCCACAGUUGCGAGUGGGAGGGGGCUGAUUGGUUGAAAACAACAUUGUUGGUUGAAAACAGGAGGAUGAAACUCUGAAAGUGCUUCAUGGCUUGUGUUGUCGGAUGGGGAACAUCCCAUAGAGUGGAGGUACUGCAUCUGCAUCCUUGGACGUUGAUGCCUAGAGUGGACCAGGCUUGGGCUGCCAAGGGGCAGGUGAAGAUGAUGUGGUCGCAGUCCUCCACAGCAGCAUGGCAGAGUUCGCACUUGGCAUCGUGGAGGACAUUCUUCUUCAAGAGGUUGGCUCUGCACUGGAUGUGUUGCUGCAUCAGGAGCCACCCAAAGAACUGGACCCGCGGCGGCACACGGUCCUUCCAGAUGAAGUUGUAGAAAGCGCACGGAGGGGAUCCAGUAGCAGAGAGGAGCUGUUUGUAGACCGGACCUGAAUGCGUUGCCUGACCUGUUAACUUGGUGUGCUCAGUGCUGACAGAGAUUCAAGAACUCAGCAUUGUUGCAAUACAUGGUUGAAAGUCUAACCAUGCGGAAAUGGUUACUCCUUGGGACUGAUUGCUCCAUACUGUUCAUACAGUCAUCACUCAUCGCUGCUGCUCUGAACUCUCUGUCUCCACCAUAAAGUUUGCAAUUCCAUGAUCGAGAGGAUGAGAGCCAGCUAUUGCGGCCACGAGGUGCCGUGGAGCCUGAUGGCCUCUCCCAUCUCAAACGGCCGCAAGGUGUUCGUGUAAAUGCUUCUGAAGCCGGCCGGUCCUUGCUUCUGAAGCAGUUGGAAUUCUGAACUUGCGAGGAUCAGGCAUUGCCAAUCCGAGUCGCUGAACACUCUGGGACAGGCUUGCAUCGCCAAGUUACACUACUUCUCUUCUUUCGCCUACUUGUUUUCCUGCUUGCUAAGCGGCUUGUGUUGUUCGCCUCGGCCCUGCUUCCUUUCCGUAGUGAGAGAAGUGAUUACACUCGAGCAUCUUCGAGGCUGCUUUCUGCUAGCCAUAUUCCUAAUCUGGGUAUCCUUCGUUGCACAUCUUCUGAAAAGAUAAGGGCUCGGUAUCGGCUCAAUCGAACAGUCAAGAGGAAAGCAUGUCCGUGGUGAUCGGAGGAGGCAGUGAUUCACGCCAGGUUCCGUUCCUCUGUUUGAAGUAAGUUCCUAUGCACUAUACCUCUGCUUUUGUUUGUCUCCAGUCAUUGCUUUACGCCUAUACAUAGGCCCAUAGCUCUCCUUUGACUGAGGAACCCUCGUCUGUAGGUGUGGCACGUUUUGCUCCCUGCACGUUUUUCUCCUACUAUCAACUGCACUGCCCCACCAAUAGUUGGAAAUGGCUGAUGUCGUUUUCUUACCAGUGGUGGGUGAAGGAUCGGGACACGCGACCAGAGGAGGGUGAAUGAGAGCUUAUAAAAAUUAUCUCUGAGAAGAAGACAUAUAUCCCGAUUGCCAACCCAAACACACCUUGCGUCUAAUAACUAAAAUGAUACAAGUCAACUCGUGACAAGCUCACCCUAGAAAUGAUCAGGGACGCUCAAAGCGUAGCGGAAGCAACGCAAAAAUGACAUAUCGAAAAGCUUGCACAAAGAGAUUAAAUCCACACUGACCAUAUGCUACUGCACUGAACUGAAUAGAUCAAGAUACUAACUAGCUACAGGCCAACGCAAGCAUGCAAAGACUAAAAAAUCUAUUGUUGCCAGACAGAGACAUUUCGCAUGAAUUCAACCGAGCUGAGAUGCUUGAACCUUCAGACAAAUAGAAAUAGCAACAAUGCAACUAGCAAGCAAAUGAGAACACUUGAUUGUGAGCUAAACAGAGCUGAGAAACAAAGCAGCCCAGCUGGUGGGCACACAAUUAAUUGAAAACUGAACAAAUAACAGCAGUUGCUACUGUACUGAAUCGAGCUGCCUGAAGCUCUGAAGAAAAGCAAUCUGAGAAUACAAGCUAAGAGCAGAACUCCGGUGCUAAAUCAACCAAAGAGCUGAAGGAAAUAAUUAAACAUAUAUCAAAUAGCCAAUGCACGUUCACAAGCAAACAAUCAAUGAUUGACUUAUCAUUGGUCACUAUAGCAUGAAAGUGAUAGUCCAUGGAAAAUUAAUCUUCUCUACGAACUACUUGUUUACCUUCUCUUGGGCCUGAGGAAAAAGUGAUGAAUCGCUACCUGAGAGAAGUCAAGCUCGAUCUCCGUAGUGCUGUCCCUGCAGCGCAAGCUGAAAGCAAAUCGCCUGCAGCUGUUGCCGUGUGCUGGCACUGUCACAAGCCUGCCCAAGCUCUAGCUGAAGAAGGGACGGAACAACCCAAAGCAAAAUCGAUCCAGGGUGUUUGGAUACCACGGUUAAAAUUUAGUCCUGUCACAUCGGAUGUUCGUAUACUAAUUAUAAACUAAUUGCAGAACCCCUAGGAUAAUUCACGAGAUGAAUUUAUUAAGCCUAAUUAAUUCUUCAUUGUAGCACCACAUUGUCAAAUCAUGGACUAGUUAAGGCUUAAUAGAUUCAUCUCACGAAUUAGCACUCCAUCUAUGUAAUUAGUUUUAUAAUUAGAUUAUAUUUAAUACUCUUAAUUAAUAUCUAAAUAUCUGAUGAGACAGAGCUAAACUUUAGCCCCCUCGAGCCAAAAAAAAUAAAAAUCACAGCCACGUAGAAAAACUAAAAACCAAAUCGAUGAGCACGUGUCACAGAGCACUAGAAUUUCCUGUUCCCGAACAACCCGCGGAGGACAGAACAGCACGAGCUCUACUCCAAAUCGAGGCAAAUCAAAUCCGGUUCACCUGAAACUCGAACCACAGCCUCGGUAGAUCAUAGGCAAACUAUUCCAACUGAAAACAUCCAAAAAGAUUUAGCCUUUAACUCCAAUUUCAAAAAGUUUGAGGAACCCUAGGUGAAGAAUGAAUCGGGGAAAUCUUCAAAUCCGCGGUGCUCGGUAAGGGAUUUGUUAGAGAAUCACACUAGCCUUGUUCACACACGUCCUAGCACUGAUUUGCCUCAAGAAAUCUGCCUCGGACGAACCAAAAUUCAACAAAAAUUCACCCAAAAAUGCCCAAAAAGAAAAACGCUCGGGACUAGCAGGUGAAACAUGUGUGCAUGAGAGUUAAUAUUUAGAUUACUUCACCGUGUCGGGUUGCAAGCCACUUCUAAGCACAAUCCAAGCUAGGAUGGCAAAAAAAUCAACACAAAGAUCCCUCCUUUCUCCCCCUCUCUCUAUACCAAAGGCUCUCACAAACAAAUGAGUAGCCCACAACCCAACUAGCCUAAAGAGGUGGCUGCCUCAACAGCCCUCAUUCCCGGUUUUGAGACCAAACCGGUCAAACCCUCAUGCACGCCGCACCCGACGUGACUCACCAAUGUCGACACAUGUCCAGCCUCCGCCAAGCCUUCGUCGCCUCCAAAUCUUUCACUCCUGGCUCCCGGGCCGCCUACUUGACUCGCCUCUGUCCCACUCGACUCGACCGAUGCCGUCUCCAUCCCACCCGUGUACUCUGGCUCUUCCGUGCACCAUGUGGAUCGCCCAUGACUCUGCCCAAACUCCUCGGGUCCCUUGGUCCAAGCCUACUCGUGUCCACCCUUCACAACCCAAGUAUAUUGGCAUGAACCUUUCGCUUGACCUUCACCUCAUGCCGUCGACCGCCAUGUCGCAUCCUACACCUGCACAUCACAAGUCAAGAGACAAAACACACGACAUAUGGUUUACACAAACACCACAACACAACGCACACAACACAACACAUCCGGUUAGCCGUUAGCAUAAUCAUGCACAUAUGAAAUAUGGACUCAAUGGUAAAGUCUCAAAUCAUCGAGUCAAUCACUCAUCAUAAAUAGACCAAGGCACUUCUCAACUUGGUCUCUCAGUGGGAGACAGUAAGAAACAACUCAUGGGGUAUGUAGGUAUAGCUUGUGCAACCGAUUUGAUCAAAGUUUCUCGAGCUACACAACUCAGAUUUUCCUCACUCCAUCCUCCCAUAAGGCCACGGAUCUUACUAGGAAUAGUUUCAAAAGCUUCCUUACUACUCCUCCCAACUGCAGUUGGUAAUCCAUCAGCCUUUGUCCACCUCCCUGGCUGUGUCAGUACAAUUGACACUAAAGAAAAUAGAAGACUUGGCAAUGUUAACCAUUUGGCUUGACCCUCGCUAAUAUCUUUCAAGAAUAUGUGUUGAUGCCUUUUCCAGUCAACACAUGAAUUGCGCUAGCUCGCGCGUGCACCAAGCAAUCACCUCGCCGCACGCUUCUGCACCUAGCCGGUCAGACCGGUCAGGGGCCGGUCAGAUCGGUCCUCGCAGGGACGCCAUCAAAAACCUAGAAACACCACCUCGGGAGGGACCCCAACGGAGGUGACGCGCCUAGGGUUGAUCUGAGAUUGGUCAGGCCACUCAGAACGACCUGAAACGCCGUCGAGAUGAAGGAGGAAAGCAAAGGGGUUGGAAAAGCUAGAGUUUGAGAUAAAAGUGUAAAAAUAUGUUUGACAAUUAGGUUGUUAGCCCUCAAUUGGCCAGGGUCCUUUAUAUUUAUAGGGUGGGAGGCCUUUUCCUACAAGGAAAUCCCAAUUUAUCUCCAAUUCGACCAGGACUCCAGAUUUCAUCUUGAACUCGGGGUAACCGGUCUGAUCGGUCGUGGCAACCGGUCAGACCGGUGGGCGCCCGCCAGACCGGCUUUGAGCCUGAUCGGCGUCGCUGCCACUUUUGGGCGUCAACACAUGCCCCCCCUGUUUCUUGGUAAAUCUUGCGUACCAAGAAAUAAAUCUAAGGGUGAUGGAUUCCACCGGCCAUUUGUCCUAAGGGCGAUAUUUCCAAAUAUCGGCCAUAUUGUCUUUAAGCGUCCUGCCAAACACUUGGAUGAUACUUUUUCAAGUACCUCCCGUUCAGAGCUGUAGGUAGCUGAAAUCCACUUAAAGCCUCCACCAUAUAAGAAUUUCCAUGGAGCACGCUGGUAAUCUUGUAUGGUCCUUCCCAGCUUGGGGACCACUUCCCAAAUUCAUUGCUCUUAGCUCCUACAGGGAGAAUAGUCUUCCAAACCAAAUAUCCUACAUGAAAUGCCUUGGUCUUGACCUUCUUGUUGUAUGCUUUAGCCACUCAAAUUUUAUCCCUUUCAAUCCUAACCAAAGCCUCCAUCCGCUUGUUGGUCACUUCAUCAAUAUUAUCCAUCAUUAAAACAUAAUAAGUAUCGAAAUCAAGAUUAUUUUGUUUAGCCAACCUAUAUGCACCUAGAUUUACCUCAGUGGGUAAAACGGCUUCUUGACCAUAGACAAGCUCAAAAGGAGUAACUUUAGUUGCGCCGUGUCUAGAAAUACGAUGAGCCCAUAAAGCUUCAGAUAAUACCUCAUGCCAUCGUUCAGGAUUAUCUUCUAUCUUCUUCUUGAUGAGCUUUAUCAAGAUCUUGUUACUAGACUCACUUGAUCAUUGGCUUGAGCAUAAUGAGAUUAAUUGAGCAAUUUGAUUCCAUAAGAUUCCACAAACUCACGCCCCUCUUUAGAUAUGAAUGAAGUUCCCUAAUUUGUAGUCAAAGUCUACGGAAUACCAAAUCUAUGUAUAAUAUGCUCCUUGAUAAACUCAAUUGCCUCUCGAUGUGUCAUAUUCUUAAGGGGAAUUACUUCAAUCCACUUGGUAAAAUAAUCAGUAGCCACAAUCACAAAACAAUGCCCCUUUGACGAAGAAGGAUGAAUCUUGCCAACGAAAUCCAAUCCCCAUCCUCUAAACGGCCACGGCUUUAUAAUUGAAUGCAUCGGCGAAGCAGGCACCAACUGAACAUCCCUGAACUUUUGACAUUCUUCACAACCUUUGUAGUAACAAAAGCAAUCGGCUAUCAUAUUAGGCCAAUAAAAGCAAGCUCGCUUAAGGAGCCACUUCAUCACGCGAGCCGAUUGAUGCAUACCACAAACUUCUUUAUGCACCUUUGCCAUAGCUAAUCUGGCCUGAUAAGAAUCCAAACAUUUUAAAAGCAAUCUAUCAAUCGUCCGACAAUACAACUCACCCUCUACCAAAGUAAAUUUGAGUGCCCACCAUUGGACCUUUCUGUCAAUUGAGUAUUUAGGAUCCAGUAAAUAAUUAACCAUAGGUGCUCUCCAGUCUUCCACUUCGUCCUUAGCAAAUUUGGAACGAUCCAUGGCCGAAGUAGAAUCUUCACCAGAUAGACUGGUCAAACCGGCUGUCUGGACGGUUAGAUCGGUUGAACCGGUCAGACCAGUUUUGGAGGCCGGUUGGACCGGUCCCUCCAGGACGUAAGACUCAGCCUCGCAAAGUGUCAGUUUUCUUUCGUGAAAGUUCCGUUUCUAGAUGUUAUAGCAAGAUGCUUGUUGUGCCAGAGCAUUAGCUCUCGGAUUCUCUUCCCUUGGUACAUGAUAAAUAGUAAAUUCAUCCAUGCAAGAUAUGAUGUCCAUACAUUUAUCAAGAUAGACAUUCAAAAAUCCAUCUAGACAUUGGCAUACCUUGGAUACUUGUUGUACCACCAAUAGGGAAUCACCAUAAGCUUCGACAUGUUUUACCCUUAUCUCUUGUAAAAUUUCCAAACUGAAUAGCAAAGCCUCAUAUUCAGUUUGAUUAUUGGUACAUUUGUGAUCCAAUCGGUUAAGAAACUCAAAAACAGCCCCACUUGGUGAAAUAAGCACCACACCAACACCGUAGCCACUUUUGCAAACUGAUACAUCAAAAUGCAACAUCCAAGGGGUAAUACUGAUAUAACCAACAUCUAAAUCAAGUUGCUCAUUAAUUCUAUGCUCAACGAUAAAAUCGACUACAAUUUGUCCUUUUAUUGAUUUCAACGGUUCACAAACCAGAUCAUAUUCGAUGGGAGCAUAAGCCCAUUUGCCGAUUCUACCACUCAAAAUAGGUUUUUGCAACAUGUCUUUAAUUAUGUCGAUUUGACAAGCUACUAUGCAAGUAUUUGAUAACAAGUAAUGCCUCAACUUGGUGCAAGCAUGAUACAAUGAUAAGCACAAUUUCUUGAUAAAGGUGUACCUCAUUUAGGCAUCCAAUAACCUUCUACUCACAUAGGUAACAACGUGUUCCUUCCCUUCAGUCUUUUGAGUCAAAAUAACCCCAAUCACGCCUUCUUCAGCUGCCACAUAUAAUUUAAAAGGAAUAUCAUGCUUUGGCACCUGAAGAACGGGCGGUGAAGAUAAAUAAUCCUUGAUUUCCUCAAACGUUUCUUGUUGUUUUGCCCCCCAAGUAAAAUUAGCUUCAUUCUUCAACCGAAGUAAACGAGUAAACACAUUCACCUUCCCGGACAAGUUACAAAUAAAUCUCCUCAAGUAAUUCACCUUGCCCAAGAACUUCUACACCUCUCUUUUGUAGGUAGGAGCUUGUAGUUUUCUAAUAGACUCAAUCUUUUUAGGAUCAAUCUCAACACCCUUCUCAUGCACUACAAAGCCCAAGAACUUUCCAGCCGAUACACCAAAAGCACAUUUGAGUGGAUUCAUCUUUAAAUAAUAUCGAUGCAUUUUCUCAAAUGCAGGUCUCAAAUCAGCCAAAUGGGAUUUGGGCCUGGCCGAUUUCACAACAAUGUUGUCGAUAUAUACUUCCACCACUACUCCAAGAAAAUCAUGAAAAUUCAAAUUCAUAGCCCUUUGAUAAGUAGCACCAGCAUUCUUCAAACCAAACAUCAUAAUGAUCCACUCAAAUAAACCGACAAAUCCUGGACACACAAAGGCCGUUUUGGAUAUAUCCUCUUUGGCCUAAAAAAUUGAUUGUACCUAUCAUUGCCAUCAAGAAAGCUAAUCAUUCUAUAUCCAGAUGCAACAUUAAUAAGUACAUCGGUUAUAGGCAUAGGAUAUUUAUCUUUAGGCGAAGCUCUAUUAAGAUCUCUAAAGUCAAUGCAUAUUCGGAGCUUGCCCAUGCCUUUCUUCUCAACAGGCACAAUAUUAGAAACCCAAUCAGCAUAUUGACAUGGCCUAAUAAACUUAGCAUCAAGUAACCAUUGAUUUCUUCUUUCACUCGGUCAUAAAUAAUAGGAUUAAAAUGCCUAGCAGGUUGUUUAUGAGGCCUAAAACUAGGUUUGAUAGGCAGCCAAUGUUCAACUAGCCUGCGGCUUAAACCAGUCAUUUUAGUAUAAUUCCAUGCAAAACAGUCAACAUACUCUUUUAACAACUUUAUUAAAUCAAUCUUAAAAGUAGGCUCAAGAUUUUUGUUUACAAACGUCGGUCUUGGUACAGUACCAUCACCAAUAUCCACUUCUUCUAAGGAUUGGCCGACGUAAGCUCUUGUCCUAAUUUACUCAUGUCAUCAAGGUCCUCAGUGGCCUCACACAUAUCGUUCUUUUGCACCCGAUAGUGCUCUAGCCUCUAUUGCAGUCAUUCUAGAUUUACAUCCAUUACAUCAUAUGCGAUAGGCUAGCCGAUCAUCAAUCAACUUUAAUACAACAGCGGCAAAACCAUCCUUUGUGCAGGUAAUGUACUCACAAUCAGAAAGAUCUAUGCUAGAUAAGCACUUAACAUUAUCAUGAGCACUCAUGGUAGAACUAUCGGCUACAGCACCACAAGCUGACGUAUCACCAUGCACAACCUCUACUUCAUCGCCGAUCCAUUGAAUUAAGCAUUGAUGCAAUGUAGAAGGGACACAUUGUUUGCAUGAAUCCAAUCAUGACCCAAAAUUAAACUAAAGUUACCUUGGGUCUCGACGAUGAAGAAAGCGGUAGCCAACGUCUUGCUCGCAACGGUGAGCUCCAUAGAGAUAACACCUUUAGCUCCCAUAGGAUUGCCUCCUCCCACACCGCUGACAGUCAUGUUGGUCUUGAACAGCUCCUCAUCUGAUCCUCCCAAUUUCUUGAACAAAGAAUAGGGCAUUAAGUUGACAAUUGCCCCCCAUCAACCAACAUUCGAGAAAUUGGCUUCCCAUUGAUAUGCCCUUGCAUGUAGAGUGCUUUCAGAUGAUUUUCAAUGGCUUUAGGCUUCUGGAACACUACAUCCUUAGGCCCAAAGUCAAGGUGAGUAAAAUCCUCCUCCAAGAGUACAUAACCAUCCAUCGACAUAUGAAUCACAUUUAUAUCCAGGGUCAUGCUCUCAGGCGAAGUACUGUAAUCAACAACUUGUUCAUCAUCCUCCGAGUCACGAACCGAUGUCAACUCAUUAUCACAAGCCAUAGGGAUAGAAAGAGUGAAACCAGACGACGUCUCUAGCUCAACCGAUCCGACCGGUUCCUCAACCGAUCUGGCCAGUUCCUCAACCAGUCUGACCGAUGGAGCUGGGUCGUCAGCCUUUACUCUCCACUCCUUCUGAGGUGCUAUAGGUCUGUAUUCGUUGAAAGCCUCAUCCCUCUAUUUUUCUAGCUCUUGUUCCCUCUUCUCUUGCAGCCUCAACCUCAACAACUUCCUCCUUUGUGUGCGAGUCAACCCGGGAGGACACCACCUUGGCAAGAAAUAUUUGGAGCUUGACCCGCUGCUGCUAGCUUCGUGAUAAUUGGCAGUAGGAAUCUUCUGAUCAAACGACAUGACCAGAUUGCUUGCGCCAACCGAUCCUUUUGCAUUAGCCUCAACGGGAACAUUCAUAGACCCAAUUUGAAUAAUAGCUUCCCCUCGGCCUUUCUCUGAGUCUACUUCCAUCUUCUGAGUCUCCUCCUCCCUCUGCUUAGGGUGGUACACUUGCUUCGGAGGAGAAAUCCGGGGUGCUGGGAUAGACCGAUUUGAUCUGUGGACCCUGACCAGAUGAGCAAGGCGCCCAUUAGCCUUGCACGGGGUGCGAGAUUCUAUCCAAAGCUGACUUUCUAGGGCCUCCCCAUCCAGGAUGGAAAGAUGGUUGCUGCACAGAUUGAUAGGGUACCCACAUUACCCCAUUGUCAUCCCACACUGGGUGUGGAGGAUUUGAUGCUAGAGGAGCCCACGAUGUGGAGGGGCACUGCCUUGAUUUCACCUGGUCACCUCUUUGCCUAAUAACCGCUUGUGGCGGUGAACCUUGUCUCCCUUGGUGAGUAGGUGACCUCAUUCUCUUUUUUACCGUCCGAUCGCUUGUAGCGGCCUUUUCUUUGGUAUACUUGUCCAAAACCAUAUCAAAGGUGACUUUUUCCCUGGGGCUACUUCCCUGAUCUUUUGCCACGUUAAGCUUCUAAGUCCCAAUUUCUGGACGCUUUGGUUUCAGCAUUCGGGGGCGGUCCUGGGUCUGACCAGUCCCUUGCACCGGUCUGACUGGUUCAGCCUGAUCAACAGGCUCAACGGGUCUCUUUGCCUCUCAAAUCGGGCUUCUUUUCCCCGAUCACCACAUUUUUACCCUUAAUAGCUUCAGCUUGAUGUGGCCAAACCAGUACCUUGGGUUGCUGAAUAUCCAUUGUGUUGAUAGGGAACGGUGUUUUAUCCACUUGCAUCUCAUGGUAUGUCAACAGGCCUUCAUUUACAGCAGAUUGAACCUGCUGACGGAACACAUCGCAAUCAUUGGUAGCAUGAGAAAAAGAAUUAUGAAACUUGCAAUAUGCUUUUCUUUUCAGGUCUUCAAGUGGAGGCAUAGUAUGAGAUAUUUUCAGAUGUCCAAGUUUAAGCAGUUCAUCAAAAAUACAAUCACACUUGGAGACAUUGAAAGUAAAUUUUACUUCUUCUUGCCGACUCUUUUGGGCUGGCUUAAGAGAUGCACAAGAGUAAGAUUUAGCUUUGGAAGGCCACACAAAUUCAGUAAUAUAAACUACAUUGUCAUCGUCGUUCGAACUAUGGGAAUCAUAUUCAAUAGCAUGCAUGUUAGACCAACGAGACUUAAAGUUAUCCUUUUCUUUAGCAAUUCUAAGCUCCAUUGUUGAAGCCUUCAUAAGUACUUGUGCAAUAGUGUGAAGCUCAAAACCUUCUAGCCGAUCCCUAAUAGAAGGUUUCAGACCCUUAAGUGCAAGAUUGGCUAAAUCACUAUCAGAAAGUGACAAAUUAAAGCACCGGUUUUUAGUUUCUUUGAACCAUCUUAUGUAAUCAAAGACAGAUUCUUCCUUGCCUUGCCUAACCAAUGUUAAAUCCAUCAACUUUAAUUGAAAAUUCCCAGUAUAAAAAUGAUCACGGAAUUUUUUCUCUAACUAUUCCCACGAAUCAAUAGAGCUGGGAGAUAAGGAUGAGUACCAAGCGAAAGCGGUUCUGGUUAAUGACAGAGAAAACAAACAAACUUGCAAAGUAUUAUAAUAACCCGCUUUGAUUAAUUGAGCCAGUUUCUAACUAAUGCGCUCCCAAGUAGUUCAGUUAUCUUCACCACUAAAUUUAACAAAAUCAGGCAUGCACCCAUCGAUAGGGUAGUGGACAUAGUCAAAAUCAGCUUGAUACAGCUUUUGAUAUAAUUUUGAACUACCAGUAUCUAUGCCGAAUUUAGUUUGCAUCAAAGCCAACAUGUCCUCCCUAGAUCUUCUAAUUUCUCGAAGGGAGUGUAACUAUGAGUGCUCUGGGGCUGAUGUAUUCAUGGUACUCGUGUGGGGUGGGUUGCCGUUCUGAAUGCGGUGCAAAUCAGAAAACACGUCAUUCGAAAUUCCCCUAGAUGCAAUAGUGUUGUUGGGAAUCGGAGGCGACGUGUACGCUAUUGUGCUAAUCGAGGGUGGGUUAAUCCCAAGCUCACCAACACGGUCAGAAACAACUGAGCUAGGCACAACAGCAAGCGGCACAGGUUUUUCGGGAACAAUGGCCAACUAGCCGGCCUGAAAGGCCUAACCGGUCAGACAGCCUGUUUGGACCAGUUUGACCACUUCAGCUGUGCUCGGCUUUGGCGGUUGAGCCCGGGGCGGUGUUUGUCCCACGUAAAAGUUCAACAACAUGCCAUAUGUAGGGUUUUCAAGAACAACUCCUGUAUUUGCCGAUGGACCCGUAUGCACAGCCCCAUGUGAAACAACUUGCGAAAAAUUAUUUUUAUUACAUGAGACAGAUUUACUUCCUACAAGUUAAUCUAUUCGUCCUAAUGUAGAAGUGAUCCUAUUUUGAUCAGCAAGGUUCUUACGGAGCUCAUCAUUAACGGCGGCUUGAUCGGAGGGGAGAUUACUUACAUUGCGUACUUCCUCGACCAUGCUAUCCUUCAUCUUGAUCGCGGGCAACUCGAAGUCCUGCACUCUCGUCAUCUUGCCCUUGCAAUCUUUCUUGACGCCCAUGAGAUAUUGCAUCUUGAUAUAUUUCUAGAGCGUCGCAAGGUUCCGCUGCUCCUCUCGCUGAGAUCUUCCACAGAGGCUGUGAUGAUGUUGUCCUUGUCAAUGUCCAUAGUAGAUCCCAUCUUACCAGGGUUUUCCGGAAUGGUUAUAGAAACUAGAUCUUUUAUCCCUAGCGGAGUCGCCAAAAUGUGUUGACGCCUUUUCCAGUCAACACACGAAUUGAGCUAGCUCACGCGUGCACCAAGCAAUCACCUUGCUACGUGCUUUUGCACCUGGCCGGUCAGACCGGUCAGGGGGGCUAGUCAGACCGGUCCUCGCAGGGAUGCCGUGAAAACCUAGAAACACCACCUCGAGAGGGACCUCGUCGGAGAUGAUGCGCCUAGAGUUGCUCUGAGAUCGGUCAAGCCACUUAGAACGACCUCAAACGUCGUUGAGACAAAGGAGGAAAUCAAAGGGGUUGGAAAAGCUAGGGUUUGAGAUAAAAGUGUAAAAAUAUGUUUGACGAUUGGGUUGUUAGCCCUCAAUCGGCAAGGGCCAUUUAUAUUUAUAGGGUGGGAGGCUUUUUCCCACGAGAAAAUCCCGAUUUAUCUCCAAUUCGACCAGGACUCCAGAUUUCAUCUCGGACUUGGGGUGACCGGUCUGACCGAUCGAGGCAGUUGGUCAGAUCGGUGGGCACCCGCCAGACCAGCGUUGCUGCCACUUUUGGAUGUCAACAAUAUCCAUCAACCUUUGUCCACCUCGAGUUGUGGCCUGGGUAAACAACAGGCAAUCAUGGGCAAAUAACAAGAAACUGAGGGCCUGUGUACUUGAGGAGAGAUGACAGGGCCUUCAGCGUACUUGAGGAGAGACAACAGGGCCUUCAGCGCACAUGAGGAAGGUAAAGAGACAUCGGAUCACCUUGAUGAAUUCCACGAAUUUUUUUUUUGUGUGUGUGUUGUUGGGGGGGGGGGGGGCGGUUGAAUCCGUGAAAGGAGGAAUGUAUAAGUUAGUUACAAAGAGUAAUGUAUGCAGUCUUCAACAAAUCAAAAGAUGAAAUGAUGCAUUGUAUGAGCUACUUAUCUAUGAACUAAAUGCACUCUUACUUAAUUUACAUUCUUAAAGAAUGGCCUGACCAUACAAAUUCUAAAACAAAUUCUAGACAAGGACGUGUUACGCCUCCAGCCUUCUUUAUCAAUACAAGUGAGAAGGGGAGUAAAAAGUAAUUUAAGCGGUCAAGCCACGUCACCAGAGGCACAUGUUUCUUCUUUAGGGACAAUUAGAGGCACAAGCAAUCCGGAUAAAUAAGGUUGCAGGGCCGCUUCUGCCCUACUCGAUGCCCCAUGGCUGCUUUAGAGCUGGCAACUCUUUCACACCAUUUAGCAUCGCAAGCACAUCCGCCAUGGUGGGCCUAUGCUCCCUGUCUUCCUCAACACACAGGAGCCCAAUCUCCAUGCACUUCUUGAUCUGCAUUAGCUGAGACUUGCAACACAAUGACGGUUUAAACAACUCCGUCCGUACAUCAUCCCGAGCUUCGAAAGCCUGAGAACAUAUAUUAGGUCAUGUUUGGAUCCACCCAACUAAAUUUUAGCUAGCUAAACUUUAGAAACAUUCUUUUAGCUAGCUAAAUUUUAGGAACAUUCUUUUAGCUAGCUAAACUUUAGCUAGGACUGUUGGAUCCACUAGCUAAAUGAUAGUUGAAGAGGUAGUUGUCUAUCCUAACCUUCCCUCCCAUUUUAGAAAUUUUUCCCGAUGAAGGUGGAGGGGCAAUUUUAUCUUUAACUAGUUUAGCUGGAUUCAACUAGGUAAAAGAAUCUUUAGCUACCUAAACUUUAGCUAGAUCAUGUUUGGAUCCAUAACAACUAAGGCCAUGUUUAGUUACCUCCCAACUCCCAACUUUGACACUAUGCAAAAAGAAGAUUCCCCAUCACAUCAAACUUGCGGUGCAUGCAUGGAGUACUAACUGUAGACGAAAUUAAAAACUAAUUGCACAGUUUUGUUGUACUUUACGAGACGAAUCUUUUGAGCCUAAUUAGUCAAUAUUUGGACAAUAAUUCACAAAUACAAACGAAACGCUACAGUGUGCUACAGUGCUGGCACAGUAACUUUGCAUCUACCAAAUUAGCCAACUAAACAAGGCCUAAAUUUAGUCAGCUAAAAGUCCCAACUACUUUUGUAAUGUAAAAAAGCUUUAUUUAGAGGUACUUACCCAUCGAAUUGGUUCCUGGGGCCUAGACAUGCUCAUACCGCCAAUAAUGGUCCCAAGGAGGGUGAUGCCAAAAGCAUACACAUCGCACUUCGUUGACACAGUUCCUUCGAACAGGUACUCUGGAGGCAUGUAAUCCCUGGGUGAUUAAAUAAAAUAAAAAUGAAUGGUGAUCUCAGAGGUAAAAUUUGAAGUAGUUAAAGAAAAGAGCUUCAUGCACGUAUAAGCUCACGAUAUAUAGUUAAUCAGGUAAUGGAAAUACUAUUUAUAUAUUGGAGCAACGUCUUACACUGUGCCAGCUAUGUUGGUGUCGCCGCUGGUUUCUUCAACACCAAGGUCCAACUUUUGAGCUACGCCAAAAUCACUGAUCCGAGGAUUCAUAUCAGAAUCGAAGAGGAUGUUGGCUGGUUUCAGAUCCCUAUGGACGACACGUUGCUCAUGCAGGUAAUGUAGCCCCUGGGCUAUCCCCUGAAUCAUUUUGAAGCGGCAGGACCAACCAAUAAAUCGAGACCCUGCAGAGAUCACAUAUCAUGCAACGAGAAGCAACUAUUGAUCAGUUACAUCAAAGUUAAGGGAUGCUUGGUCCAGAGGUGAACUGUAACCAGUAUUUGUACAGAACAUACCGUCGAUAAUCUUCUCCAUACUUCCGUUUUCCAUGUAUUCUUCGACAAAACAAAAUUCUCUGUGUUCAGCUCUAACACAUUUUCCAUUAUCUCUGAUCAAGACCAUUAUCACUUCGUGGCAAUAUCCCAGAGGUCUACUUAUGUUUUUGUGCUUCAAAUCUACAAAAGCAUUAAUUCCAUCGUAUAGCCCACUUUCGUCAAUGUCACGAAUAUAAUGCAAUUUUUUUAUGGCAACGACUUGUCCGUCCUGCAGGACACCCUGAGAAGUAUAAACACCAUGUCAGAUGGUCGAUUUUUGUUUUUAAAAGAACAGAAGGGAAAAAGCAGAACUGCUGAUCUUAGCACUAAAGUUUCGCCAAAAGUUCAAUGGCGCCCUGGCCUCAGGCUUCAAAAUUUUCAUCGAAGUCCAUGAACCGAAGCUAAAAUGCCACAAAGGAGGACUUAUAGGAGCUAUCGGAGGACACAACAGCCAAGGCUUAGGUUUAGGCGUGAUUGCGGGUUUGAGCACAGACUAAUUAAUACCAAUUAGUUUAUUCCCUACCCUUUGGGACAGCAAAUUUGUAACAUUUAGUAUGCAUUUAAAUUUGAAAUUAUUUGCUACACGAAGAAAAAUAGUCUUAACCUGUCUUUGCCUGUACAGGAAAUAUUCAACUAGCUAGUGAUACCUACGUGAUUAUAUGGAAAAGUACACAAACCUAGAAUUAACAAACCAAGUAACGGAUCGGAGUACCUUGUAAACAUCACCAGUGCCACCACUUCCAAUCAUGUUUCCUUCGGAAAAGUUCUCUGUAGCGGCCUUCAAUUCAGAUAAACUGAACUUUGUGAAGCCUAUAUUGUAUAAAAAUUAACCCACACAGGAACAGGGCUUGAAUUAGAUUAUAUUAAUGCCUAAACACGCAUGCAUGAAACUGUAGGAGCAGUUGAUCUAAGAAAACUGUUGGAGCAACAUCACUUUGAUACACAGAUCUAGUAAAGUUGCAAUAAAACACUAUGCUUUAUUUAGAUCACGGAAUAAAAUUAUCCUAGCUGCUACUUGAACCAAUGAUGCACAAGGACCCAAGAUGCAAUAGACGGUAUUGAUAAUUUGAUAGCUUUUCCUUACCAUCAAUAAUCACUUCCCCUUGGGAUCGGGGUGGAGGAGGACGAGGAGGAAGAUCACCAGCAGAUUGGAUGUUUGUCACCAUGAUGGUGGUCUGGACAUUGGUGGCGAAGUUCCCCAGCUGCAGUUUCCUCUCUAUAUCAUCCUGGACCCGGCCCAGUUCCUUGGCCAUGUCUCCUGCUCCCAAGAAGCGGCGAAAGAUGUGCUUCCGCUGGCACUCCGUGACCAGCUCGAGGGCGCGUUCCAGGGAUUUGGCCAGAUCCUCCAGCGCGUCACGCAUCACCUCGUCCUUCAUCGUUUCCGUCGUCUCGUCAAGGUUCCUGAGGAGAGCGCUGACCCUGGCAGCGCACCUCUUGAUGUCACGGCACUCCUUCUCGUUCUGCUUAACCGUCUCCACGGCCUCCUUGAUCUUGAGUGCGAUUUCAACGAUCUUCCUCUUGUGCGGUUGACUGCAACAACAAUAAUCUUCAAGACUAUGAGAAGGAAAUUAAGGCAUCAGAUGCUGAUCUUAUGAGCUGAUGAUAUGGACAAACCAUUCUCGUAUUCUCAUAUUUUCAUCAUAAGCAGCUUUUAUUGCUUGCACCACCAAAGGAUGGUUAAUUCUAGCAGUGUCAUCCUCCGGCCAUAUGCCAGUGACACGCCCACACUCUCCUGCAUGCAACCAGCAGAGUAACUAGCUAAUCAGUCUCACCACAUGGCACCAGGCGACUCGAUUUGUAUUCUGAUGGAAAAAAAAAUAUAGACAAACGAAAAAAACAGAUGGAUGGACCCAGAUCAACAUACAGAAACUAAUCAUAUCAUGUUAAUGUGUAAAAAAUAGUAGAUUCUUAAUUAAUAGAAUUUUUUUGUUAAUAGAUUUCAUUUGUCUGGCUUCAGUUCUUAUCUUUUUGCAUGAAGAUACAAGUUUCACAUGUUUGCAAUUUUUAUAUAGAUUGAACAAGAUUUUUUUUUUUAAAAUAUCAAAUGUAUAUUUAUUGCAUUUACUACUAGUAUGCUCUCACUAACGUUUGAUAGAUUUCCAGCCAUUUCUCUAGCAUACCAUAAAAUUGUAAAAUGUUGUUUGCUAAAAAUAUAUCAAAUUUUUAAAACUUUUUGUGAAAUUGUGUGAAUGCAUGUACUUGUAGGUCAAAUCCAAGUCAAACAUCCAUUUCUCAUCCCAAAUUCAAUAUUGGCAAAUUAAUUUGAGUAUCUAAAAUAGUUCAAGCUUACAUGUACCUGCAAAAUGACAAUCCUUCACCGAGAAUGGUUCUGAUACUCCUUCUUGAAUUCUCUCUUCUUGGGUGCUAGCUAGCCUUACACCCAUCUUGAACUUUCCAGUUCUAGCACAAUAGGAUGUCAUCUGGAAAAAGGCAUCACCAAGACAUGCCUCUCCAUCAGCUAGAACUAAGAUGCAAUUACCUCCUAGGACUGAUGAUGCUUCUUCUCCAGGCCGUGGACACACUUCGUAGCGACUGAACUCCUCUGAAGUCCAGUAAUCCUGACCGUGGUCGUUGAAGUCACCAUGGAGAACAACGAUCUGAACAGAAGCUGAAGACAGGGGACCAUAUGUGAUCUUUCUGUUGUUCUCAUCGAACAAAGCAACUUUGAGAAGGCUCCCAUCAUCUGCUUUUAUUCGAUCCCUUGUGUGAUAGGCCUCGCACACCUUAUUCACAAAUCGCAAUUUGUAUUUACUGCACAUCUUCCUCUUCAGUUGUCGCCUGAAAAAAGUUAGCAAGAUGGUUAUUGAUAGUGACAUAAAGUACGCAGUACAAUUUUGACAGUUCUAUGUAACUGAGGAUGAAUUGAGGAACGCACUCUUCAGGCUCAAGUGGCUCAAUGAUAACACCUCUGUUCCGGCGAGUCUGCAUGACUUCCUUUGAUUUGAUAGUCAAUGGGUCUAAGUGCUUUUGCAUGAGGCGCGUAGUAGGUAAACCACAAUUAUUAAAUUUUGGCAGCGGCAUGAGCUGAUCAAGAAGGUUCCAAUGGCGCUUGCUCGGCUCCACAUUAGGCCUAUCCCAUGCAAGUUGCACUGCAAGUGUUGUUGGGUUUGUAUUGAAUCGUGUAUCUGCAGAAUAAAACUAUAAAUCAAAUCAUCUGUUUAAUUAGUAGUAGAAGGAGGAGUGCUUAAUUCAGUUGCAGCAUUUAUGGGCAAAGUGAAAAUGUAAGAGGCCAAACUUAAAAAACUGGGUAAAGUAAAGGGUACCCCUAAAAAAAUAUUGUGCAAUAAUAUUGAGUUGCAUGCACCAACCAGUUCAACCCAAAACCUUAAGCUGAUGAGGAGAGGUGGGCAAUUUCAUAUUUAGUUGCAUGCAAGUUCAACCCUAAAGCUUAAGCUGAUGGGAGAGGUGGUCAAUUCACUUAUACUCCAACAAAUAAGCUUCUAAUGCUAAAUUAGCAUCCAAACACCUUAACAACAAAACAAAUCUUGAAUAAAAUAACCUAGUUUCCAAUGGAAAUGUGAGGCUACAUACUGAUACAGAUUUUCAUUUUUUUAACAUAGUGUUUUAUUUUGUUUGUUGCUAAAACCACAACUGUCAGUCUAUACCAUUGUCAUCCUAUACCAUUAGAAUUUGGACCACGAAAUCAAUAUGGUGUAGAUGUUUCUUUUCCCCUCGUAUUAAUGGUAUGAAUUCUAUACCAUGAGAGUAAAGAUGGUGGUUCUUUUAGUUCAUUUUAGUAGUAGAAUAUAUACAAAGACUAUUAAGUCAACCUGAAAAUAUGCUUGUAAGUAUGAUGGUCUGUAGAUGGAAAUUUUAUUUACCGUCAAAUUUUACCUUGGAUAUGGUUCCAUUUUCUUUUUUUUUAGUGUGGGUGAAUGGCUAAGAUAUUAUGUUUAAGUGGCCAAAAUGAGGUCACACGUUGACAUGUCAAAAAAUAUAGAAAAAAUCCACAUAAAUAACCAGCUUAAGCCACCAGUUGUGUGAAUCAGAACAUGGGCAUUAACCAUAAAACUUGGAUCGCUGAAAGAAUCAUCCACAACCAAUGACAAUUCAUCAACUAAAUAGUUACAAGAAAGAUGAAUGAAAGAAAAUUAAUGUAAUCAAAAUUAAUACAACUAGGUGAAUUCGACAUUGCCAUGGAUCAAUGUUAAAGAAACAAGUGUAUGCACAAACAAGGUGAAUCAUCUGCAUGUUGUUGUGGAUAUUAUUGAUAUUUCUCUUGGGCUUGCUCACUAUUAUAAUAAUAUUUGGUAAUAAGCCUGUAAUGCUAAAUUAACUUACAAACUCCUUAAUUACAUAAAAUGAGUAAAACUGGCCGAAUUAAUUUGCCAUGCCAGUGUGAGCCUACAUUCUAAUGUAGGUUUCCAUUUUGAACAUAACCUAUUGUGUUUGCUGCUAAAAAUACCAUUGCACCUCUUUUACAAUACUUUUAUAUCAAUCUAUACUGUUAUACUUGUAUUAAUGGGAUGAAUUCUAGGCAUUGACAGUAAAGUAUUAGCUCCUGUAAUCUUAAUAAUCUACACCAUUAAUUCAGAAGCUAUCUAUGACAAGGGAGGUUCUGAACCAUUUGUGAUGAUGUAUGUAACAACAGACGAAAUGGAAAGGGAAGUCUAUGUGUUUGAGACGAUGGUAAUGGUGAACUCUCCUUGGAAAAUGUCUAUGUGAUGAUGGACAUAUAUGGAUGAUGUAUUUCGAGGAUAUCUGUCAUCAUCUGCGCAUAUCUAUGGAUAUGGUUUAUGAGGCUAUUAAGUCAACCUUAACAUAUGGUUGUAAGUAUGAUGGUCUGUAGAUGGAAAUUUUAUUUACCACUCAAAUUUUACCUUGGACAUGGUUCCAUUUUCUUUUUUUCUCUAGAGUGUGGGUAAAUGGCUAAGAUAUUAUGUUUAAGUGGCUAAAAUGAGGUCACACGUUGACAUGUCAAAAAUAUAGAAAAAUCCACAUAAAUAACCAGCUUAACCCACCACUUGUGUGAAUCAGAACAUGGGCAUUGCCCAUAAAACUUGGGUCCCUGAAAGAAUCAUCCACUACCAAUGACGAUUCAUCAACUGAAUAGUUAUUAGAAAGAUGAAAGAAAGAAAAUUAAUAUAUUCAAAAUUAAUACAGCUAGGUGAAUUCAGCAUUGCCAUGGAUCGAUGUAAAAGAAACAAGUGUACACACAAACAAGGUGAAUCAUUUGCAUGUUGCUGUGGAUAUUAUCGAUAUUUCUCUUAGGUUGGCUUGCUAUUAUAAAAAUGUUUAGACUGUAAUGCUAAAUUAACUCCUUAAUUACAUAAAAUGAGUAAAACUGGCCUAAUUAAUUUGCCAUGCCAGUGUGAGGCUACAUUCUAAUGCAGGUUUCCAUUUUGAACAUAACCUAUUGUGUUUGCUGCUAAAAAUACGAUUGCACCUCUUUUACAAUACUUUUAUAUCAAUCUAUACUGUUAUACUUGUAUUAGUGGGAUGAAUUCUAGGCGUUGACAGUAAAGAUAUUAGCUCCUGUAAUCUUAAUAAUCUACACCAUUAAUUCAGAAGCUAUCUACAUUUCAAAAAAAAUUCAGAAGCUAUCUAUGACAAGGGAGGUUUCUAAACCAUUUGUGAUGAUGUAUAUAACAACAUAAGAAAUGGAAAGGGAGUCUAUGCGUUUGAGAGGAUGGUAAUGGUGAGCUCUCCUUGGAAAAAGUAUAUGUGAUGAUGGAUAUAUAUGGAUGAUGUAUUUCGAGGAUAUCUUUAGAAGUUGUCAUCAUCUGCGCAUAUUUCUAUGGAUAUGGUUUAUGAAGAUGGGCAGUUUUACUCAUAGAUAAAAAUAAUGAAUCUAAACUGCAGAAACCAGAACAACAAAAUUAACAUGUUCUUUUAAGUAUUAGAUUAGAAAAUGUGAUUCAACAGUGACAUGCUGUACGAUAAAAAGAAAAAUACUAAACAUUACAAAUCAGAGAGCAUGAAAUUAACAUUUAGUUUAUCAGACAUGGCCAGUUUAUGAGAGAGAUCAUGAUGAAACAUUUUAUUUGGCCUUGUCUAUAGCAAUAUAACAGGUAAAUAAAAGGACCAAAAUUUGCAAGUUAUGUUUUAUCUGUUCAAAUCAUAUAAAAUUAUGGGAGAUAAAUUCCCAUAGUUACCCACUUAACCCAUCACUUGUAGGAAUCAAAACAGGAUCACUAUCCAAUGAACAGAAGUGUCAUACCAUUUUGUCUGCAAAUAUCUUGGGCCACACUCAGCAAAUCAGGAUUAAGGUAUGGUGGUAUCAAAGCCUGUAGUUGGACAAAAUAACAAACAUGUGACAAAUAAAAUUAGUGUGCCGCAUUAUGGAGUGGAAGUAAAAUAAAGCCCUGGACCCACCUUAAGCACGCUCCUUUACGAUUAUUAUGAUUAACUAUGUGUAUCAAAACCUAUUGUCAUGAUAUAGUCAAGGUUGUAUGUCCUACAUAUAAACUGUGGCCUAGUUUUUUAAUUACUUACACCGGUACAUGGUUCUGUAGAAAGCAUAUUAGUUCCUAGAAAUGGAAGCUGUGAUUGUCCCCCAAUUAUAUCCAAUCCUGAAAAUGAGGAGGAAACAUCAUGAUUUGAAUCAUUCAGAAUACAAGAAUAAAAGGAGGAGGCUGGUUUACAGCCAGGCUGCUAAGGCCGAAGGGUGCGGGUAUGCACCUUUCGUACUAGGGCUCAAGCAAUAUACUAAUUGUUAAUGUUCACUAAUAUGCAGGUAGAACAUGCAUCUCCUUGCAUUCUCUACUAAAAAGAGAAAAAAGAAAAGAACUUCAAGCCUUACUGUUUCCGGCAGUUUGAGUUGAAUUUAUCCGUGACGGGUGUGGCAGGUUAGGCACUGGGCUAUUUUGUUCUUGAUGAUCAUUAUCAACCAGAGCUUGCCCUACAAAAGUGUAAAACUUACAUCCAAAGAAACCAAAACUAAGAGCAUCAAACUAAAAUAGUAGUAUUAAUAUAGUCAAAAUGCCUGGUAAUGUGCCUGAUCAAGUUGGAGCCAGAUUCUUUCUCAAUAAUAUUAAUUUAAAGAAAUUAAGAAAGUUCUUUUCUAUUUUAUUUUAUGCUAAAGAAUAUGUCUCAUUAUAUACUCCCCAAGUUUUGAACAAUAGUAUGAUUAAAUUAACUAUAUAUAUGUGUAUAUAAUUUUUUAAAAUAUAUAUUUUAUUUUAUUUAGAGUUGGUUUCAUACAUUUCUGUGGAAAAUAAAAAACAUUUUUUAGGUAGAGGCUUCUCGAAAUUACAUUCUAAUUUAUAUUCCAAUUAAAAGUCUAGAUUUCUAAAAAUUACACGUGCAGUAGCUGUGUAGAGAACAAUGUGAAGUAGAAAAGGUUCCAAUUAAUGAAAUACUACCAACUUAAAAAAGUUUCAAACACAAAACAAGUUACCCACUUAAACCAUCACUCUUGUAGGAAUCAAAACAGGAUCACCAUCCAAUGAACAUAAGUGUCAUACCGUUUUGUCUGCAAAUAGCUUGGGGCACCCACAGCAAAUCAGGAUUAAAGUAUGGUGGUAUCAUAGCCUGUAGUUGGACAAAAUAACAAACAGGUGACAAAUAAAAUUAGUGUGCCGCAUUAUGGAGUGGAAGUAAAAUAAAGCCCUGGACCUAGCUCCUAUACGAUUAUUAUGAUUAACUAUGUGUAUCAAAACCUGGUGUUAUGAUAUAGUCAGGGUUGUGUGCCCUGCAUAUAAAUUGUGGCCUAGUUUUUCAAUUACUUACACCGGUACAUGGCUCUGUAGAAAACAUAUUAGUUCCUAGAAAUGGAAGCUGUGAUUGUCCCCCAAUUAUAUCCAAUCCUGAAAAUGAGGAGGAAACAUCAUGAUUUGAAUCAUUCAGAAUACAAGAACAAAAGGAGGAGGCUGGUUUACAGCCAGGCUGCUAAGGCCUAAUAUAAGAGUGCAGGCAUGCACCUUUCGUACUAGGGCUCAAGCAAUAUACUAAUUGUUAAUGUUCACUAAUUUUCAUGUAUAAAUAUGCAGGUAGAACAUACAUCUCCUUGCAUUCUCUUCAAAAAAGAGCAAAACGAAAAGAACUUCAAGCCUUACUGUUUCCUGCAGUUUGAGUUGAAUCUAUUUGUGACGGGUGAGGCAGGUUAGGCACUGGGUUAUUUUGUUCUUGAUGAUCAUUGUCAACCAGAGGUUGCCCUACAAAAGUGUUAAACUUUGAUCCAAAGAAACCAAAACUAAGAGUAUCAAACUAAAACAGUAGUAUUAAUAUAGUCAAAAUAUCUGGUAAUGUGCCUAAUCAAGUUGGAGCGAGAUUCUUUCUCAAUAAUAUUAAUUUAAAGAAAUUGAGAAAGUUCUUUUCUAUUUUAUUUGAUGCUAUAUAAUAUGUCUCAUUAUAUACUCCCCAAGUGUUAAACAAUAGUAUGAUUAAAUUAACUAUAUAUAUAUGUGUAUAUAAUUUUUUAAACUAUAUAAUUUUAUUUUAUUUAGAGUUGGUUUCAUACAUUUCUUGUGGAAAAUAAAAAAACAUUUUUUAGGUAACGGCUUCACGAAAUUACAUUCUAAUUUAUAUUCCAAGUAAAAGUCUAGAUUUUUAAAAAUUACACGUGCAGUAGAUGUGUAGAGAUUGUAAACUCUUAACAAUGUGAAGUGGAAAAGGUUCCAAUUAAUGAAAUACUUCCAACAUAAAAAAGUUUCAAACACAAAACAACUUGUAUCAUAGAAUCUGAGAAAGAAUAGACUUACUUUGUCUGUUUGAGCUGUUAUGGCACAAGUUAUUUUGUCUUCCUGACCGGUCAUGGCCCCGCACAAAGAAAGAAUUUGAUAGUCCUUCUAGAACUCGUUCUUCAGUUGGCGACACUACGAUCACCCCAAGCCUAACCUUCUUGUUACUGGAGUUUUCGAAUAUUGUAGAACCACGGUGACAUUUAGCCCCGUCAACAAGGUUAAAUCGGCCGUUACUAACUAUUGAUUUUGCUGACUGAUCCACAUUCCCACGACGUGGUUUUUUCACGUAGGACUCAAAAUCCUCUCUGGACCAAUUGUGUUGAUUAUCAUGUUCAUUGAACUCUGCGUUAACGACAACCAACUCAACUGUAGCAGAAGCAAGGGGUCCAUUUUCUACAGUUUGAUCAUUAUUACCCUCAACUAGAGCUACACUUAUAUCUAUGGUUUGCCCUUUUUCAAUUGUGUCAAUAUUCCCAGAUGUGAAUACCAGUCGGUAUCGAGGUGGCUGCAGUUGAUUUGAUUGUGAUCUGUGAAAGAAGGAAAAACUAACUUAUGAAGUGAAAAAACAGAGUGAAGCUAAUAAACUGCUGAAUCUAUUCCUAGUAUAUAUGAAAUUAUUAUGAUAACUUCACUAUUCACUGUUGGUAGUGCCCGGAAAACAAAUGAUAUGAUGGUAUGUAGCAGACAAUACCUU
rnacentral:lncRNA from 1 species